AGCUCUGAGGUGUUUUAACAUAUUAGAUUGCAAAUCUAAAGAAGCAGGUUAGUCCCCUGCCGGGGCUU
rnacentral:tRNA from 1 species